UAUUAUGAGAGUUUGAUCCUGGCUCAGGACGAACGCUGGCGGCGUGCCUAAUACAUGCAAGUCGAACGCUUCUUUCCUCCCGAGUGCUUGCGCUCAAUUGGAAAGAGGAGUGGCGGACGGGUGAGUAACACGUGGGUAACCUACCCAUCAGAGGGGGAUAACACUUGGAAACAGGUGCUAAUACCGCAUAACAGUUUAUGCCGCAUGGCAUAAGAGUGAAAGGCGCUUUCGGGUGUCGCUGAUGGAUGGACCCGCGGUGCAUUAGCUAGUUGGUGAGGUAACGGCUCACCAAGGCCACGAUGCAUAGCCGACCUGAGAGGGUGAUCGGCCACACUGGGACUGAGACACGGCCCAGACUCCUACGGGAGGCAGCAGUAGGGAAUCUUCGGCAAUGGACGAAAGUCUGACCGAGCAACGCCGCGUGAGUGAAGAAGGUUUUCGGAUCGUAAAACUCUGUUGUUAGAGAAGAACAAGGACGUUAGUAACUG
rnacentral:rRNA from 1 species